AUAACCUAUCUACCCUGGUCUGGAAGACUAGUGAUUUUGUUGUUUUAAUUUCAGUAUUAACAAUAAAUCACAUUCUUCCCAGAUUGUGGUUGAUCUUAACA
rnacentral:pre_miRNA from 1 species